GGUCUUGCUGUAUUGCCCAAGGCUGGAGGACAGUGAUGCAAUCAUGGCUCCCUGCAGCCUUGAUCUUCUGAGCUCAGUCCCUGCUUUGAUAACCACAGGCAGCUACGGGAAAGAGUGGGAAAAGUGAGAUAGUCCCAAGAAACAGGCAACAGCAGGGUCUCUUCGAUCAGAAAUUUGGGAGACAAGGAAGGGCUGUUUUGCUGCAAUUCACUUGAUGUCAAAGCAGGAAAGACCUCGGACAAAGCUUCAAGUCUAACCUUUUUUGUUCUCGGAGACAGAGUCUUGUGAUAUUGCCCAGGCUGGUCUUGAACUCCUGGCUUCAAGUAAUCCUCCCGCUUCAGUCUCCCAAAGUGCUGGGCUUACAGGUGAGAGCCACCGUGCCCCGUCCUGGCUUCUGUUAUUAUCACGUGGCUAGCGUAAGGGGUGUUGGGUAGGUAGCUCCCUUUCUGGGAAACAUUGGCCCCAUCCACCCACAUCCGAUGGGGCUCUCCCAUUUCAACAGGUCUUAAGAAGCCAUCUCCUCAACAAAAGUGGGCCCCUGGGAGGAAUUCUCCUGACAGCCACUAAAACAGUAUGCUUGACCUGCAUCUCAUAACGCAUCCAGGAGGAAAUGAAAGCACAGACAGCUGGAGAACCAGGCCCAAGGUCACAAAACUUAGGUGUAGCAGAGCUGAGAAUUCAAUGUGCAUUUGAUGCUAAGCCAGGUGAUAAAAGAAGGAAAGCCAGUUUUAUUGAGUGCAUGUUAUAUUCCAGGCAUCUUUGUAUGCACUGUGCUUUUAUUUAUUUAUUUAUUUAUUUUAUUUAAUUUAUUU
rnacentral:lncRNA from 1 species